rnacentral:lncRNA from 1 species
CCUGAGCCCCUAAGCUGCAAGUCAUAAUAGGCAGCCAAUCAAUGUUAUGACGCAGUGGAGACCCUUACUAGAAGCCAACCAGAUGCCAGCACCAUGCUCUUGGAUUUCCCAGUCUCCAGAAUCGUGCAGGUGGAGAAGGAACCCUAGACACUGCUCAUCCCAAUCAGGCCCUUUCCAGGCCUGUCCCAUUCUAAUCGGGCAUCAGAUGUGGCAUUAAUCAUCAUCUACUUAACAAAUAAGGUUCCCCUUUCAAUGCACUUGGGUCUCCUCUGGGCCAACCUUGGUUCUGAGAUAGCAGAUGCUGAAAUACUGCUGAAUCCUCAAAGCCAGACCAGCCAGUGCCUGGCACCUGAUGGGAAUAUGAUUUCAACGAACAGAAAUGAAGAGACCGCACAGAGAUACAGACCCAGCCUUUCAUUCUCUUAUAUUCUUUAUGUCCAACAUUUAUUGGGCCCUUACCAUGUG